rnacentral:sRNA from 1 species
GCCAGGUGUGGUGGCGCACACCUGUAAUCCUAACAGCUCAGGAGUCUGAGGCAGGAGGAUCCUGAGUUCAAAGGCAGCCUCAGCAAUGGGGAGGCCCUAAGUAACUCAAUGAGACCCUGUCUCUA